rnacentral:rRNA from 1 species
AGCGAACGCUGGCGGCAUGCUUAACACAUGCAAGUCGCACGGGCAGCAAUGUCAGUGGCGGACGGGUGAGUAACGCGUAGGUAUCUAUCCUUGGGUGGGGGACAACGGCUGGAAACGGCUGCUAAUACCGCAUGAUAACUGAGGUUUAAAGGCGCAAGUCGCCUGGGGAGGAGCCUGCGUACGAUUAGCUAGUUGGUGGGGUAAAGGCCUACCAAGGCAACGAUCGUUAGCUGGUCUGAGAGGAUGAUCAGCCACAUUGGGACUGAGACACGGCCCAAACUCCUACGGGAGGCAGCAGUGGGGAAUAUUGGACAAUGGGCGAAAGCCUGAUCCAGCAAUGCCGCGUGUGGGAUGAAGCAUUUCGGUGUGUAAACCACUGUUGCCCGGGACGAACAUCCUCUUUCGAGAGGACUGACGGUACCGGGUGAGGAAGCACCGGCUAACUCCGUGCCAGC